ensembl:lncRNA
AUUCUUCUACUUCUAUUCACACUGCGUGACUGCAGUUGCUAUUUAAUUCUAAUGUUUUCAGCUCUUCUUCAGCUGAAGGACCAUGCAGAGCACCAGGCCAGGAAGCAGCGAGCUGGAGUUCAUCACAUUCUCCCCCCUCGCUCACUUUAGUAACCUUGAUUUGGGCACAGUUAGCAAGCCAACCAGAGACUUGCAUCAUCUGACAGGGGGAUCUAUGCCAAAUACCUGGGAUAGAAGAUGCAUGAGGAAGCAGAGGAGAAGGACAGAUGAUGAAAGCUGCAGUCCUAAACGGCGAAAGCUGAUGGGAGAAGAAGGAGCAGAUGAGUAUCCAAGUCCUAAAGUGAGCCAAAGAUGGUCUGUGGACUCUACCACCACUUCCCCUCCUGAGACCAACCCGGUUCAGCUUCAGACUGAACCCAGAACAGAGAAGAUGGGUCUGCCCUUCACAUCCACUCCCUCUCCACUACCCAGAGUUCCCACAGAAGGCUCAGGCAUGGAGGUAGAGGCCACUCAGAGGAGACUGCAAGAGAUAGAAGACAGGAUAACUUUGAAGGAUGACAGCGAUGAAGAAGAGCUUGAUGUGGAACCGGCUCAGCGCAGACCAGUGCUGGUGAUGUCCGACAGCUUAAGGGAGGGGCUACAACGUGGGAUUGGUGACAUUCUACCCCAUACGGUAGCACAGUCAGUCUGA